rnacentral:misc_RNA from 1 species
UCCUGGUUAACCCAGGCAGUCUCGUUAGAGUUCCCGCCUUGACGCGCUGGCAACUAACGAUAAGGGUUGCGCUCGUUGCUGGACUUAACCAAACACCUCACGGCACGAGCUGACGACAGCCAUGCAGCACCUAUAUAAAGGCCCUUUCGAGAAAUGCCAUCUCUGGCAUCGCCCUUUACAUUUCGAGCCCAGGUAAGGUUCUUCGCGUUGCAUCGAAUUAAACCACAUGCUCCACUGCUUGUGCGGGCCCCCGUCAAUUCUUUUGGGUUUCACCCUUGCGAGCGUACUCCCCAGGCGGCAUACUUAAUGCGUUAGCUCCGGAACAGAAAGGGUUGAGCCCUCCUACUCCUAGUAUGCAUCGUUUACGGCAAGGACUAC